AAAGCGUGCGCAGGCGGUUUUGUAAGACUGUCGUGAAAUCCCCGGGCUCAACCUGGGAAUGGCGAUGGUGACUGCAAGGCUAGAGUUUGGCAGAGGGGGGUAGAAUUCCACGUGUAGCAGUGAAAUGCGUAGAUAUGUGGAGGAACACCGAUGGCGAAGGCAAUCCCCUGGACCUGUACUGACGCUCAUGCACGAAAGCGUGGGGAGCAAACAGGAUUAGAUACCCCAGU
rnacentral:rRNA from 1 species